UUCUCAUUCUUUAUUCUUCAAGUGGAGAUAAAUCCGUCAAAAUGAAUGCAAUAACCUUUUCUAACGUGGUUUUAAUUCCCGCCUUAAAAAUGCGAUAGUAGCGCCAUUCGAUACAAGUAUCGCAUUAGAAAAUGAUCGAAUUUGAAAUAUCGAAGUAUCGCAAAAGUAUCGAACAAAAGUAUCGUACUUAUUUGAAUUGAUUCGUUACGAUGUUCAAAGGUAAGUAACCUCGUUUUUUAUUUAUACCAAAACUUUAAUUUACAUUUAAAAUGUGAUUCAGCAAAAAACAUUUCACGACCACCGGCCGACAUGAAAUAACAGCGAUACUUUCGUUACGUAAAAAUGCAGCAAUACCUGCAACCCGAUGUAAUCACACAACACAUCGAAUCGAGUGAAAUAACGGCAGAGUUGUAAAAAUGGAACGAGUCGAAGGACAACGAUUAUCAACGAUCAAGAAGAAAAAGAAGCGUGCGAAGAAGGCACAGGAAACGAGCAACGUCGAUAGGGGCGAAUACCAUGAAAAUCUUGGACGUGAUUCAUCCGUACAAUGGCCGUGCUCAAUUACGUAGCUGAACAAAUUGCACAAUUCGAUGAGACUCGGAAUAGACGUUCUCGUAUUGCAGGUGUUUUCCAUACCGUGUAUUUACACGGAUUGAGUACGGGAAUUACUCAUUGACGACCGAAAGCAGGCGGUUCGGAAGAAAUCCAAAAAUACCAACAUAACCUCGCGUCAAAGCAGAAAGCAUUUUAUCGGCCCUACUAUCAAGAAAACUAUAAUAAAAAUGGACCAAGAUUAACGUGUGAUCAUCCAUCGAGGUGACCUACGAAUAAGCAGGCAUCAAGAACGAUCGCGAGGUCAUCGGCUGGGAAUCAAGUGUACGGCCGAUCGAUACACACAGAAUCUCGAACGAAAGCUACCCAGGGAGCUAUUCCUAGUGGGCAUGUGCGAAAUUCAUACUCCUUCGAUGGACAGUUCUCGAUUACCUGAUCGAUUCAAUUCUCUCUGAUCUUUAGAUCAUUUCAAACGUUCAAUCUUACCAUGCUUGAAACCGAGUUUAACGAAAUAACAAACUUCAGCGUUCCCGAACGAGCAAACGGUUUUAUAUUCUACCACAACGAAAUUACCGGUAUAAUUUUCCAAUUACGGGAAACGAAGUUUUCCUCGGGAAAAAUCAAUUGCUGAAGAAGCGACUGGUCUCUGUACCCGCGUACAUGCUUUCCUGUAAAAUUCUUGUUUUCGAAAAUGCUGCCACGAUGCGAAGAUCAAGAGUAUGAUCGUUGCAAACUGUCUAAGUAAAAUGACGAGCGUAGAUAAACGCAAGAUUAGUCGGAGCCCCAUUUUUCAAUACUUACAGGAGAUACUUCAACAUAAAUAUGUGAUAUAAAACUUGAGAAAGGGACGCUCGAUAAUGACAUCAUUGAUAGGAAUUCGUUUCGCUAUCUAAAUUAGCAGACCGGAAGAAAGAACGUAAGUUCCGUUCGAUUCCAUUCCAUUCCACUAAAACGGAAACAGCCUCUCCAACAUUUUUAUUUGCAAGAAUCUAAAGGAACGUUAGUAGGGUGGAAAAGGAGAAGCGCGAACGCCGUUAUAAGAUCAAAUGGGACAAUUAGAAAUAAUUCAAUAUAACUGAAAGGUGCAAAGACCGGACGUUACACUCUUCGAUGAGGGUGGACUUUUAAAUUGAAAUAGAUACAGGUCACAGCACCUACGCGUGUACCUAUAAACCUUGAUGCACAACCAUGCGACAGUGAAAUCGAUAAUCGUGAGGAACUCGUGUGGUUUCCUAUCGUUCAAACAUUAACUUCAUUUCUUCUUGACAAUGGGAGUUUUUGCAGCAUCGAUAACUUUCAAAAUUAAUUAACGAAACAACACAUGCCAGUGACGGUGGAUACAAAUUUCAAAUUAUUCGUAACUGACUCGACUAGGGUGAAAUCAAUAUAGUCGACCAGGAAUUAGAGAUUAAUUUUGAAAUCUUUUUCUUCUUAGCUUAUCGAUAGUAACCGUGAGCAUAGUAACGGAUACGAGAGCGAUAAGGAUUACAGGGUGUACACAAACUGUGCGUACAACUGUGCAAAUUCUAAAAUUAUUCAGCAAUAUUCAAUUUUUUUCUAUCGACACGCGCCGUCAGAAACAAGUUUCGACUUUAACACGUCCGUGACAACGUUCAUAAUAACGUAACAGCUCGCAUAGUCGCAGGGAACUUAGUUAAGAAACUACUUUCGCGUAAAAUAUCACUUAUCAACGGCGAUUCUGUGAUACAAAAACUUUCACCGUUACUCAAUUUAAAUUCAAGAUUAUGUAAAAUUAGCAUUACUAUAUUUGUCAAUGAUUUUUUAUAUUCGACGGAACUAAACUGUCUACGUCAAUGGAAAUGUUUUUAUAAUUAUCAAUAAGAAUUGUGCGUUUUAACGUAACUGUAAUGACCGACAUGUAACGUGACGGCAGGUGCUUUGCCAGUGAGCUGUGGAAUCGAUACGAACAGUCGUGUGCAGUUGCUUACGUUUCAAAAAGAAAAAAAAGAUUAUUCUUCCUUACAAGGAAACGUAAUCUUUAUCAAUAUCGUUAACGUAAAGGUAACGAAAAAAUGUAAGCUGAUACUUUGUACUCGGUGAAUAAUUUGAAACUUUGAUGACGUAUACCGAUCUUUCGGUUGCCUCAAAAGGCACAAGUAAUUAUCCGUCGUAUCCUUAUGGAUCCACCUCUGCGAGGAAGUACAAAAUCUAAGUCGAAACACCUUCCAUAUAAUACCUCGAAAUGGAAAGUAACCCGUUAAAGACGUAACGGGCAAGAAAGUACGAAAGGUGUGCUUCGGUUCGUGCAUCAAACAUGACUAUUCCUUCUGGACGUCAAGGAAGUUGGUACCGUAGAAAAUCAUUGAAUCUCAAGUGAAACGUAUUUAUACAGGUUCGUGGAAAAGAAGCAUCGUUUCUAACAACGAUGCCGACAAAUGAUCCUCUCACUUUUCCCAGUGAAAACAAAGACGAUGAAAUGAAUUGAAUACAGGAAUACUAAAGGGUAAUGCACGAUUGAAAGCAGAUGAAAAUGAAAA